CCCUAGCCCCGAUAGAAGUGGAAAUCCUUUUAUGCCGAUCCCGAGGCUUUGGGAGGCAUAAAAGAUUGAAACGAAUAGCGGGAUUAGCU
rnacentral:sRNA from 1 species